UCAAUUUUCUUAUAAAAAAUCAUUUGUUCACUUUGACAUUUAAAAUAAAAAUUGUGAGAGAAUUUAAAUAAAAAUAACAAAAAGUCUUUUGUCAUUUGCUUUUUUAUUAAGGACUUUUCCAAUUGAAAUCACUCAACCUCUCUUUCUCUUCGAGCUCAAUCCCUCUCGGUCUCAAACAAUUUCUCUCAGCUUUAGAAGAUUUGUGUCUUUCUCUGGCGCUCAAUAAGUGAUAGAGAAAAGUUGUUGGUGGUGGAUGACGGUGCACUCUUGUUCUUCUGAAAAUAAUCGCUUAUUCGGAUAAUCUCGCCGCACGUAUACUUCGGAGCUCUGAUAGUUGGAAUCGGGAUUGACUCUUCAUUGUAGAUUUGAUUGUGUUGUGCAUCCUCGUUUGAUUUUGGUAUAUGGAAUUUGCGGUUAUUAGCGAUGGAAAAAAUGAACGGGACUGGAAACGAAAGUUUUAGCAGCACGAAUAUGGAAUGCAUUAGAAUAGCAUUCCAUAUUUCUGAUUCUCUGAUCUAUACAAUCACAUUUCAAUUUUUAUUUUUUCUAAAGAAUUGAGAGUGUGUCUAACAAUAUCGUUAAAUUGGAUAUCAUUUUUAGGGUUCCUGUUUCAGUUGUGUCUCGAAAGACAAUCUCCAUGAUAAUAAGUGAGGCAAUGUCGUCCAUGAAGGUGAAGGAUUGGUCGCUCUUGAAUGACCUACAUGUAUUCUUUAAAAGGGAGUGGUGCUUACUGCCAACUAUACACAGCUCAAUCCAGAUAUGGUCAAAACGUAAAGUUGAGUACUAAUUAUUCUGGAGCUUCCAUUGGAGGACAUGAUGUUGCCCAGCAUUCUACAGCUUCAAGGCAUUCAGGUUCCUUAAUUUAUUACCAAGGGAGCUGCUUCGUCAGCUUUUGAUGCUCGUGGAGGGUAUUCUUUAGGUGUUUUAGAUUAACCCAUGUUUGCUUCAGGUGACUAUGUUCCAUCUUCAAGCCAUGGGUAUACAAAUCCGAUCAAUUGUAUGGUGACAAGAGUUUGGAUUAUUCUGGAAUAGAUAGAAGGUAGUAUGAAGAACAACCGAGUGGUUACGUCAGUAGGGAUUUACCAAGUGAUCAAAUUGGAUGCUAUUCUACUGAUGUUAUUGGAUACUGUCAUCAACAUCAGGCAACUUUGCUUCGACAAGAGCAAUUCCUGCAAUCUCAGUCUCUACAAGCUGCCUCACUGAAUGCUGAAAAUGAGGACGAGACCGAAGAGCAAAAAGAUUCAAAGAAAAUUGAGCAACAGUCGGGUGAAUCAUGGUGUUGGAAAUGUGCUAUCAGAUAUUUCUUCUGAAAAAGUGUGUCAUGUAGAGAGAACUCUUCUAUAAACUGCGGCGUGAUUCGCCGCAUCCGUCUCCUUCUCAAACGGAUGUCACAAGACAAUCCAAGCAUUUCUUCAAUGCAAGAAAUACAAUCUUGGAAUCAUGGCAUCUAGCCGAGGACUCAUUGUUGGACGUCUGAUUAUGCAGGUUAUCCAGAUAUGGCCACAAGGUACCCUGCAUAGUAGUGUGCAGUAUAAAUAAUUAAAUUGCAUAAAAGCUUUGAUGUUAUGCUUUUAGAAGUUAUGCUAUAAUUACAUUGGAUAUUAUACCACUGAGCUCAAUUCGCCGAAAAACGAAAGUCAGACAUGUAACCCGGCUGCCAGGACCAGCGACCAAAUUCUCCAGUUUCAUUUUUUAUGAAUGGCUGCACCAUUAUUAAGAAACCACUCCACAUCGUCGGUAUUCAAUUUGUUCACCAAUGUUGUUCAUCGUUUCUCUUCUGGUUUGCGAACACCAUUCCUGAUGAGGCGCGUGAGAGUGAUGUAUUCUGACAUAAACUCGUAGAUUUGGAAGUUGCAUGCCUCACUCUACAAUGAGAAUUGGAACAAUCAUUAACAACAUCAAGCUGAACCCAAGGUAAGACGAAAAGCUAGUCCGGGUAGCUGGAACCAAUGCAAAGAUCUUGAAGGAGCCCUCAUCGGCGUACUGUUGAGUUCAACUUCCAUCUGGGCACACUAUGAGGUUGUCGAUGUAGUGCACACUAUAACGUUUGAAUAUAACUUUAAUUGUAGAUGCUUUUGACGCAUCAGAAUGGUGAGAUCACUACAUCUUAUACAUCUUAUAAUUGACUAAUAUUAUUGAUUUAGGCCUUACAUUAAUUUAUGAUGUAAUAUUUUAUUUUGUUA